rnacentral:rRNA from 1 species
UACAGAGGGGGCAAGCGUUAUUCGGAAUUAUUGGGCGUAAAGGGCGCGUAGGCGGCUUGGCAAGUGGAAGGUGAAAUCCCUCGGCUUAACCGAGGAACUGCCCUCCAAACUGCUUUGCUUGAGGCCGGGAGAGGUGAGUGGAAUUCCCAGUGUAGCGGUGAGAUGCGUAGAUAUUGGGAGGAACACCAGUGGCGAAGGCGGCUCACUGGACCGGUUCUGACGCUGAUGCGCGAAAGCGUGGGGAGCGAACAGG